CAGCCAGUGAUUGCACAUGACACAUUAAAAACAGAUAUCGCUACAUAGACACUACCUUCGGUAUUUAUCGUAUCGACCCUGAUGCUGAGGGCAAAUGAUGUAUGAACAACAUCAAAGGAAAUUGUCCAAAAAUACAUACCAGGGUGGUCCAACCUCAGCAGCCACUAGGUCUGCACCGAGAUUUUGGGAGCCCACCCCCCAGCAGCUCCAUCUCCCAGUCUGGAGAGCACAACCCUGCCUUCGCCCCUUUUGACGGCUCCCUUUCGCCCUUCCUCCUGGCAGCAGCGCCCGCCGAGCCCUGCAGCUGCUCCCUGCCACCAAAGCUGCUAUAGAGAAAUUGGUGGAGGAGGAGGGGGUAGGCUGCGGGCUGUUGCUGUCCAGUUUGGAGACUUGCUUUUGAUUGCUGGCGGGGGGGGAGGGGGGGGGGGG